AUUGAACGCUGGCGGCAUGCUUUACACAUGCAAGUCGAACGGUAACAGGCCGCAAGGUGCUGACGAGUGGCGAACGGGUGAGUAAUGCAUCGGAACGUGCCCAGUCGUGGGGGAUAACUGCUCGAAAGAGCAGCUAAUACCGCAUACGAUCUAUGGAUGAAAGCGGAGGACCGUAAGGCCUCGCGCGAUUGGAGCGGCCGAUGUCAGAUUAGGUAGUUGGUGGGGUAAAGGCUCACCAAGCCAACGAUCUGUAGCUGGUCUGAGAGGACGACCAGCCACACUGGGACUGAGACACGGCCCAGACUCCUGCGGGAGGCAGCAGUGGGGAAUUUUGGACAAUGGGGGCAACCCUGAUCCAGCAAUGCCGCGUGCAGGAAGAAGGCCUUCGGGUUGUAAACUGCUUUUGUACGGAACGAAACGGUCUGGGUUAAUACCCUGGGCUAAUGACGGUACCGUAAGAAUAAGCACCGGCUAACUACGUGCCAGCCGCCGCCGUAACAC
rnacentral:rRNA from 1 species